rnacentral:tmRNA from 2 species
GGGGGCGACCGGCUUCGACGGGACGAACUGAUGCCGAGGGAAGCAUACCGAGGUCCUGCCGCCUCGUAAAAAAGGCAGAAACUAAUAGUCGACAACGACUAUAACUACGCCCUGGCUGCCUAAAAGUCAGCCAGCGUCUGUCCUGCCUACUCCUGCGGGGCUUGACGGACGUCACUUAGCGGGAUAGCUUUCGGGGCUCUGUCCGAAGGACCUGAAAGCGAUACUCAACCGGACUGGUCCUCCUUGCCUGCCGCCUGUAAUGGGCAUGAGGGCGAGACUCUAAUUACAGGCUAAGUAUGUAGAUGCCCCGGAUAAGCGUUUCCGGACGUGGGUUCGAUUCCCACCGCCUCCACCA